rnacentral:rRNA from 1 species
CACUUUCAGUAGGGAGGAAGGUAGUGUAGUUAACACCUCGCAUUAUUUGACGUUACCUACAGAAGAAGACACCGGCUAACUCCGUGCCAGCAGCCGCGGUAAUACGGAGGGUGCGAGCGUUAAUCGGAAUUACUGGGCGUAAAGCGCAUGCAGGCGGCCUGUUAAGUCAGAUGUGAAAGCCCGGGGCUUAACCUCGGAAUUGCAUUUGAAACUGGCAGGCUAGAGUCUUGUAGAGGGGGGUAGGAAUUUCAGGUGUAGCGGUGAAAUAGCGUAGAGAUCUGAAGGAAUACCAGUGGCGAAGGCGGCCCCCCUGGACAAAGACUGACGCUCAGAUGCGAAAGCGUGGGGAGCAAACAGGAUUAGAUACCCCUGGUAG